rnacentral:rRNA from 1 species
CCCUUAGAUGUUCUGGGCCGCACCCGCGCUACACUGAAGGAGGCAGCGUGUACUCCUGGAUCGAAAGAUUUGGGUAACCCGCGAAUCUCCUUCGUGCUAGGGAUUGAGGUUUGCAAUUAUCCUUCAUGAACGAGGAAUUCCCAGUAAGUGCAAGUCAUAAGCUUGCGCUGACUACGUCCCUGCCCUUUGUACACACCGCCCGUCGCUACUACCGAUUGAAUGAUUUAGUGAGGACUUCGGACUGGGACCGAUGCGGCUUUCGGGCUGCGUCGGUAUUCUGGAAAGAUGUCCAAACUGUAUCAUUCAGAGGAAGUAAAAGUCGUANCA